rnacentral:rRNA from 1 species
GACGAACCGUCCAAACGUUAUUCGGAUUCACUGGGCUUAAAGGGUGCGUAGGCGGCUCAGAAAGUAGGGUGUGAAAGCCCUCGGCUCAACCGAGGAAUUGCGCUCUAAACUACUGGGCUUGAGGAACGCAGAGGUAAGCGGAACUUACGGUGGAGCGGUGAAAUGCGUAGAUAUCUGGAGGAACACCGGUGGCGAAGGCGGCAUCCUGGACCAAUUCUGACGCUGAGGAGCGAAAGCCAGGGGAGCAAACGGG